rnacentral:rRNA from 1 species
UACGUAGGGUGCGAGCGUUAAUCGGAAUUACUGGGCGUAAAGCGUGCGCAGGCGGUUUUGUAAGUCAGAUGUGAAAUCCCCGGGCUUAACCUGGGAACUGCGUUUGAAACUACAAGGCUAGAGUGUGGCAGAGGGGGGUGGAAUUCCACGUGUAGCAGUGAAAUGCGUAGAGAUGUGGAGGAACACCGAUGGCGAAGGCAGCCCCCUGGGUUAACACUGACGCUCAGGCACGAAGGCGUGGGGAGCAAACAGG